GCUUACUAACCAGCGUGAAUGUAACUUGGGAGCCUCCAAAGCUGAGACACAGAAAUGCCAAUAUCACAAGUUUUGUACUCGAAUACCGGAAAAAGGUCUCCGAUAAUGUGACGUCAUUCACCAUCCCUUGGUCACAGUCAGACAAUGAAGUGUAUUCUAAAGUAGUGAAGGUUGAACCAGGUGAAGAGUACAACGUUUCGCUGGUGGCCGUUAGCAAAAGAUUUAUGGGAGAGAUACUUUACGUCGAGUACUUAGCACCUCGUGGACCGCCUCCUGUGCCUACUGAGUGCGUUAUUUGCCCGGACGUCUCCACCAAAAAAAACCGUCCCCCAAUCCGUCCAAACCU